UCAGUGUGAUGGUGUGUUGAUUGGUUCAAUUAAAUUGGAAUUAAGUGAGAUGCUGGUUGAUUGGUUCAGUUAAUUUCAAAACCAAUCUGAUGGUGGCUGAUUGGUUAUGUUUCAUUGGAAUUAAGUGUGAUGGUGGCUACUGAGUUGAUAAUAAAGACUAACAGUGACAUUUUUUCAUUACUUAGGAUGCCAGUUCCUCCACUGAGUACUCAAGUGAUGAUGAAGACAACUACAGAAUGGAAGAUUGUGGUAUUCAAGAUGAAACUACUGAGUUGAUAGUGAAUACUCGUAAGAGGAACCGCGAAGUCGCCUUUUUCCUGUUUACAAUUGGUAUGUACGCUGAAACUUACCUAAAUAGAGGUCCAAGAAGGGUUCC
rnacentral:lncRNA from 1 species